rnacentral:lncRNA from 1 species
CAUCAAUCCUUAGCAUAUGGAUGCUUCUUGAUGGUAAAGAAAGAAUGAAAAAAGGAGGCAGAUGAUUGAAUAUUAGUCAUAACGCAGAUAACCAAAAAAUUCACUACAAACCUAAAAAAGUUCAAGAUAAUCACACAAAGGAAAAGGCCAUAAAAAUGAAAGACAUCUAGGAUAAAAGGAUGGACAAAAAAUCUUAAACCUACUCGG